UAGGAGGGCCGGGAUUGGAAACCCAAUGGGCGCGGAGUAGGGUUCCCCCCUAGGGAGGCGGUGCCUGGGGACCUUAAGAGACCUGGGAAGGUGCGGAAAGGAGGGGCCCUGCGCUGGCCCAGCUGUUGAAGAGCUUCGCCCAGCCGGCCCCGAGUGCCCACGAUAGCCGAACCCAGGGCGGGGAUCCCGGUUAUCGUCAUCCCUCCAGCUUCCCCGAUGGGCGUUGAUUUCCUCCGUUACCAGAGAAAAACAACUGAGAGAUGGGAAAAAUGUAUUCCCUUGUGAUGGAAAAAAUGUAUUCAACCCCUGUACAUUGUGCCGAAUUGGCUUCUUUAAACACUGGAGAAAUCUACUUCCCCAAAUUUUACUCCCAGAACUCAAUGAAAUAAAUGUACUGGUGCAAGACAUACAGUUAUUAAUCCUGAUAUCACCAAAUUUGAAGCCAAGCUUACAAAGUAGACCAUAUAACAAAUGUUCAAGAAAAGCAUUUGAGUACUCAACUAGGAAUCUUUGUAGACAAAUUUUAUUUCAUCAGUAUUGCAAGAAAAGAAUGGAGAGAAUGAAUGUUAUGUUUUAUUGGUUGACAGGCAUACAAAACAGCACAAGGUAAUUAUUCUGUUCUGAUUCCACCCAUCCUUGGAGAGGCUGAGAAUGUUCUACAGAUUUCAGUUUCAUUCUUUUCACAGUGGCCUUGUGAGGCAAAUUCAGAGUUAGGCAAAAAGGAGGAAAAAAGAACAUAUCAAGAAAAAAAGAGAGUUACAAUUCAGUAUUGGCUGUUGGCUUUAAGAGAAGAGAGUAAACAUCACAGCUUCGUGACUCCUACUCACUGUGGAACAGGCUUGAGCAGGCAAAAGAAGAGGUGGAAUUUGCUUUAAAAAGUUGCAGUGGUGUUAUAUCCAGUAGCAGCACAAACCCCGUGCUCUGCCUAUUUUGCUGCACCAUAUCUUUCCCGCUUUAAUAUGAAUACUUACUUGGGAGGAGGCAGCCUAGAUGUCCCUGGUGUCUGGUGAUGCCCACAACAUGAGCUAUCCUGAGGGGAAGAAAUGGAUGUUCCUUUUACCCCCUCGGCCUUGCGUGCCGUGCUACUGAUCUGGAGUUUGCAAAAAAUGAAACAUAGGCCAGGCCUGGUGGCAUGGUGGUGCGUGCCUGUAGUCCCAACUACUCAGGAGGCUGAGGCAGGAGAAUCUCUUGAACCUGAGAAGCAGAGGUUGCAGUGAGCCAGGGGUCACACCACUGCACUCCAGCCCUGGGGACAGAGCGAGACUCCAUCUCAAAACAACAACAAUUUAAAAAAAAAUAGAAAAGAGAAUUGGGAAUUUGUUUUUUCCUUAACUUUCUUUUUAUACUUACUAAUGGAGGCUUGGAAAAUGCAGGAUAAAAUAUCAAACAAUCAUUCAAAGAUGAUUAUAAAUAGAUAACAUUUUUACCAAUAUUUUCUCUCUUAUAUGUAUAUAAAGGAGUGUGUGUGUGUGUGUGUGUGUGUGAGAGAGAGAGAGAGAGAGUGUUUUACAAAGGCUUCUGCAGAAUAUAUAAUCUUAUAUCCUGCUUUUUCCACCUAACAUUAUCAGAAAAAAUUCUUUGCAGGUCAUUAAGUCUUCUUCCAAAAGGUGAUAUUUUUCUCCUAUGGCUGCACAAUUUGCAAUCAAAGGAUAUUCCUUUAUUUACAUACCCUUUUACUAAGAACAUUUAAAUGGUUUUCUUCUAUAACAGUACAAUGACAUCCUUCCUCUACAUUUGUAUUUAUUUCCUCAGGGCCUAUUUUGAGAGGUUAUUUUUGGUUCGAAUCAUUUGAAUGUUUUAAGGGUCUUGUGACAUAUUGUCAGGUUUUUUUCUGCAAUGCUCAAGCUAGUUUAUACUCUCACUGGCACUAAGAGUGUGGAUUGGAAGUGCAGUUUUCAAGACAGGUGAAUACCUGAAUUCUAGGUGUUUAUCAACUGCGUAUUUCAUUACAUUCUUCUGACGGAGAAGGCCUCUUAUGUUAUGUUCAGCCAUAACCACCACACCAUGGGACUCAUCCAAUCAUCCAAUCUACAGAAUGUCUGCUGAGUCCUGGGCCCCCUGCCUGCUGGGCUCUGGGAGUACAGCAGGGGAGAAGGUGGACAUAGACAAAUAAUGAGGCAAUAACACAGGGAAAAAGUGCUGACGGGGGAAGACCAGCUGUUGUUAGGAACACCUAAGAAGGUCACCUAACUUGAACCUGCUAGGUCCUGGAGGCUUUGAGUGAAGCUGAAAAAAAUGAAUAGGUGUUAGGUGUGUUGUCAGGAGUGAGCAUUAUAUGAUCCACCCUGUUACCACAAAAAUCGAAACAAAUUGUUACCACUUUUCCUUAAAAGUCCGACUUCAUUAAUGAUGGUGUGGCAAUGGCUUGAGUAGGACUGGGUAGCAAGCAAAUAUUUUACAACUGGUGUUGAGCCUUUUUCAAGUCUGUGCAGGUCCACUGGCCUCUGUGGCCUCUCCACUAAGCUCCUGCGGCUCACUCACAUUCCCUCCUUGCCGCUGAGCUCCUGCAAGGCGUGCAUCAACCAGUCAGGUUUAACUACUGGGAUUGACAUGCUUGGAUUGAAGUUAUUUUCCAGUGCUGCUGUCUUAGAGGUGUUUUGCUUGCCUCCCUUGUGUAUGCUGUUAAAUGUUGCACCUGGAUUUGACCCUGGGUUUAAGUCUGUUUGCAAUAACCAGACAUGGGUUCUUGCACUCUGACAAUAUAAAAAAAAAGUCAAACCUCAUAGACAAUCAACACAUUCGUUAUGGACUGAGAGCACACAAUUAUGCAUCUGUGGAGAAAUGAAUAGUUAUAAAAUAUAUGUGUUUGGGUGGAACCGUGGAUCAUAGCCAGGAAUGGUCAACUAGGGAGAGUGGAACAAACGUCUCUCUUCUCCCUUUCUUUCCCAUAAACCCAGAUCAUUACCUAGCAGGGCUCAAGAAGCAAAUUAGCAUGGUAUAUGGUUAACAGUCCCAGAGCUAGCACCCAAGCACUACGGGUCAAAUCCCACCAUAGACAUUUACAAACUGUGUGACCUUGGGCAAGUCACUCAGUUGUUCUAGGCUACCAUUCUGCUUUUGUAAAAUGGAGAUAGUAACACCUUCUUUAUUAGGUAUGAUCUUUUUUUUCUUUUUUUUUUUUUUUGAGAUGGAAUUUCGCUCGUUACCCAGGCUGGAGUGCAAUGGCGUGAUCUUGGCUCACCGCAACCUCUGCCUCCUGGGUUCAAGCAAUUCUCCCGCCUCAGCCUCCUGAGUAGCUGGGAUUACAGGCACAUGCCACCAUAUUAGGUAUCAUCUAAUCUGCUAUAACAAAAACAGCCCCCCCAAAAAACAACAAAAUAGCUUAAACAAGAUCAAAGUUUAUUUCUCUCACAAUAAAGCAUCUCAGACCUAAAUGGUACAGGGCUGGAUAGGCAGCUCUGCCAUCCUCAAUACUGUGCUUCCAUCUCUGAGUCCAAGGUAGCUGCAGUAGCUCACUUGAUCAUAACUGCAUGCCAGCCAGUGGGAAGGGGACAAAGGAGCAAAGGGAGCCCAUGUCCUUUCCUUUUUAGGGCACAACAUGGAAAUAACAUACUUUAUUCCUACUCACAUUUCAUUGAUCAGAAUUUAGUCACAUGGCCAUGCCUAGCUACACAGGAAACUGGGAGAUGUAGUCAUUGGCUGGGUGACCAUGUGCUUGGCAAAACUCAGGCAUUCUAUUAUAAAAGAAAGGAAAAUGAAUAUCAGUGUUUGAUCAGCAGCACGGGCCACACCAACCUCCAAGGGUUGUUGGAGGAUUAAGGAAGAUUACAUGAACCAUAUGAGUUAGUUAUCUGUAUUUUCUGAUUAUUAGUAUUUCCAUUUAUUCUGCUGUGCCAUGUGGCUCUUGUAUGAGUUGCAACGCUGUUCAGAAAAUUCAGUGAACUUUGUUGUAGGAUAUUGUAUUAUACCCAUCCUUAUGGGAUGUGCUGUAGUUAAGAGGCUGCCUCUGGACACUGAAGUUUGGCUCCGAGGUCUCAUUAUGAUGAACAAGGACCAAUCGCUACCCUAAACCAAACCUUUCUAUCCCACAAACCAACCUCUCAAAACAAACUUUGUUUAAUCAACAAACAAUAUCGCUACUACUAUGUCUAGGCUCUGCACUAAGGGAUUUUCCAAUAUUAAACCAUCUAGUCCUUAUAACAAGCUUACAAGGGGAAAUGAACUCUUACCACCUUCACUUUAUAUCUGAGACACUAAGGUACAGAAAGGUGAAGUAACUUCCCGAAGUCACCCAGAUAGUUCACAAUGGGGCCAGGAUUCAAACCAGGCAGUGCGGCUCUGGAGAGCACAGCUCCACUCCUACACUGUUCUGCCUGUGACAAAGUGGGCAGGAAUACAGGAAGAUCUGGAGUGAGUGUUCUACAUUCUUAGAAUUCAAUUUCAGCAUUGCCCCACCUUCUGCCUACCUGAAGACCCAGUGUUACAGGACAUAUCCUGCAUAAACCAAUUGUGACAUCCGGUUUUGUACCCACAAAUUGAGAAGAACCACAGGAAAAUGACAUUCUUCCCAGUCUUUAAGAGAUAAUUCUUCCCAGGAUUUAAAAGAUAAAAAGUGGGAAGUUGGCCAGGCGUGGUGGCUCAUGCCUGUAAUCCUAGCACUUUGGGAGGCUGAGGUGGGCAGUUCACAAGGUCAAGAGAUCAAGAUUAUCCUGGCAAAAAUAGUGAAACCCCAUCUCUACUGGAAGUGCAAAUAAUUAGCUGGGCAUGGUGCUGCAUGCUUGUAAUCCCAGCUACUCGGGAGACUGAGGGAGAAUCGCUUGAACCAAGGAGGCAGAGGUUGCAGUGAGCCGGGAUCACACCAUUGCACUCCAGCCUGGGCAACAAGAGCGAAACCAUCUCAAAAGAAAAUAAAAAAGGGAAGUGGCUAUGAAUUUGUAACACAAGAGCAUGACAAGCCUAGAGAGCCACAUAGGAUUGAGGAACAGCCAAAGGCAGAAAUGAGAGUGCCGGGGAGGAGGCAGCUUGCAGAGCAGCAAGGAUAAGGAGGAGGAGGAAGCUCUCUAACUGCCUCUCCUUACAGACAGCAAAAGGCAGGCAGAGACUUAGCUAAACAAGUCCACUGAAAGAUUCAUUUUCCACCAAGCAAGAGGAUCUCUUGACCAGUAUCAUCCUAUAUGCAGUUUCUGUUCCAGGAUAUGUGGACAUAAACAGAUUCAGUUCUGAGACUUGGUGACGUGAAGCCAAAGUCUCCUUCUUAUGCCAAAUGUCAAAAGCAAUUGCUCCACGCAGUCUGAAAAUUAAAAUCUAUUUACUUCUUUUUUUUUUUUUAACUGAGAGAAUAAAGAGAAACGUGGCCAGGCAGGUAGAUCACUUGAGUCCAGGAGUUUGAGGCCAUCCUGGGCAGCGUGGUAAAACCAUCUACAAAAAGGAAGAGAAAAGGAUAUUUCACAAAUUUGUAUCAUUUGUCAUGUCUGAAUCUUGAAUCUUUAUAUUAAAUCUUUUUCCUUUGGGGGAAAAAAAAAAAAAAAACUUGGCCAGGUGCAGUGGCUCAUGCCUGGAAUCCCAACACUUUGGAAGGCUGAGGCUAGCAGAUCACAAGGUGAAGAAAUUGAGACCAUCCUGGCCAACAUAGUGAAACCUCGUCUCUACUAAAAAUACAAAAAAUAAUUAGCUGGGUGUGGUGGUGCAUGCCUGUAGUGCCAGCUACUCAGGAGGCUGAGGCAGGAGAAUCACUUGAACCCUGGAGGCAGAGGUCGCAGUGAGCCAAGAUUGCACCACUGCACUCCAGCCUGGUGACAGAGUGAGACUUUGUCUCAAAAAAAAAAAAGAGAGAGGGAGAGAAAUGUUAUUUUAUUUCUUUGUUUGUACUCUAUGUAAAUUCUGUCUAGUGUCUACCUGUGUCUUCAGUAGGAACUGAACUUGCAUUGAUUCCUGAAAGACCAAACAAAGGACCUUCUCAGUCCACGUUGACAUGACCCCAUUUGUCACACUUAAUGCAGUUCACAGUUCUAACCUGAAUACCUGAUUUUUUAUGUUUAUGUCAUCUUUGGCAUAUUUUUCUUGUGGGGCUUCUGUUUGCCAUUUAAAUUUGUCUUCAUUCUCUCCUGUUUUCUUUUUCUUCUGUUUCCUUUUUUAACUCCUAGUGGGGCCCCAUACAUGAAAUUAAGACUGUUCUUCACACAUUCAUCUCCCAUAAGCAAUCUAUUUUCAUAUGAUUCUUAUUCUUUAAGACACUGCUACAUUCAUUCUUCUUGUUUCUUCUUAUCAUAAGAUAUUUUCUGUUCUACCAUUCAUACUUUGUUUUUUCAGAUAAGAAUCUCUGUCACCCAAGCUGGAGUGCAGUGGCGCCAUCUUGGCUCACUGCAACCUCCACCUCUCAGGUUCAAGUGAUUCUCCUGUCUAGCCUCUGCAGUAGCUGGACCACAGGAGCAUGACACCAUGCCUGGCUUAUUUUUUGCAUUUUUAUAAGAGAUGAUGGUUCAUCAUGUUGGCCAAGCUGGUCUCGAACUCCUGGCCUCAAGUGAUCCGCCCGCCUCAGCCUCCCAAAGUGCUGGGAUUACAGGCAUGAGCCUUUUAACAUUGGAUUUGGAGGCAAGAUGAACGUCCUUCUUGCGCAUGAUGUUGGCAGAGGAUUUUCCCAUCCUUGAGCCAGACCUGGGGAAAGCGGUGAUAGCUAUGUAAGCAACAUAAACAAACGAUUUACUUCUUAAAGUACAAAAUCGUAAGACUACAAUGUACAACACAGGCAUUAUAUGUUUAUUGUAUAGCUUCCUUUCUGCUAGCAGUUCAAAAUUUGCCCAGAUGAUUCCUGCUAGCCCUCCAUAUUUUUGUCCCUUAUCCUAUCUUUGUCAUAAGGGACAAACAAAGUAGCAAGCACUAGCUUAGCUAAGUAGCAGGCACUAGCUUAAUUCUCUGAAGCUUUGUACUGGGGCUCCAUUUUUUCCAAUCCCAUCCCACCCAGUAUUCUAAAUAUCAAUGAAUAACAAACACUGUUGCCUUUCUCUUGUCUGGCUGGCCCCUGAUAUGUGAAACAACUUACUGAUUGGGUAAAUGACAGAUGACACAAUAUUAGAAUUUGUAUUGUGUUUCUCUUAAAGCCCUUUUAAACUCUGCAUCCUCAAAAGAAGCCAGGAGUCACAUGGCUCAGCUUGGGGGCCUGUGGUUUACCACGCUGUCCUCUCAGGAAGACCUUCCUUGACCACCUCUUUUAACCUUAUAGCGUUUUCUGGCACUUCCUGUCAUGUCUUCCCUGCUUUAUGUUUUCUCCAUGACCCUUUUCCCUUUUAACAUACUGUAUAACUGAUUUCAUUUGUUUAUUGUAUAUUUUUCCUACUAGAAUAGAAGCUCAUGAGGAUUGGUGGGUUUUGUUUCUCUUUUUGUAUUUUCUGCUUAUUCUCAGCACCCGCAACAAUUUUCUGGCACCCAGGAGGUGUUCAAUCGACAUUUGACUAAAUGAUUGAACAAGCAAGUGAAUGAAUAGAUGAGUUAAUACCAGGACAAACCAUAUUACAAUAAGCAGAGUAAAUGACGAUUUGCCUUGAGGGGUCUGAGAGAGAAUUUGAUCAGAUCCCUGGCUCAAAUGCACAUACCAUUCCAUUUCAUUUUUAAAUAUGUUUUCCUUUAGGACUUGAGUACCUUCCCAUAUUCUCAAAACGAGUUUUAAAAAAUAGAUAUAUUGCAGGGCACAGUGGCUUAUGUCUAUAUUCCCACCACUUUGAGAGGCCAAGGUGGGGCAGAUCACCUGAGGUCAGGAGUUCAAGACCAGCCUGAUCAACAUGGAGAAACCCCGUCUCUACUAAAAAUACAAAAUUAGCUGGGCAUGGUGGCGUGUGCCUGUAAUCCCUGCUACUCGGGUGGCUGAGGCAGGAGAAUCACUUGAACCUGGGAGGUGGAAGUUGCAGUGAGCUGAGACCAUUGCACUCCAGCCUGGGCAACAAGAGUGAAACGCUAUCUCAAAAAAAAAAAAAGAUAUAUCACCCCCAUCAUGCACACCAGGAAAGACUCGACAUCACUUCUGUGGCAUUCCUAUCAAAAACACAUACCUUGAAUCUAACCACAAGGAAACAUGAGGCAAACUCCAACUAAAAAACAAUCUACAAUAACUGGCCUUUUCAAAAUAUCAAGAUCAUGAGAGUUAAGGACUAAAGAACUGUUCCAGUUUAAAGAAGGCUAAAGAGACACGCCAACUAAGUAUGAAGAGUGUUCCUGGAUUGGGUCUUAGAACAGACAGAAAAGGCUUAAAAAACAUUAUGGAGACAAUUUAUGAAAUUUAAUAUGGGUCAUAAACAAUAUAAAUAAGAAUAUUGUAUCAAUGUUAAAUUUCCUUGUUUUGAUCAUUAGACUGCAAUUAUGUAAUCUCUUACAUCAGAGAUUUCUUUUCUGCCUUAGAAAAUACAUGUUGAGUAUUUACUGGUAAAGAGGCAUGAUGUCUGCAACUUACUCUGAAAUGGGCCAGAAAAAAUAUAUAUUAUAUAUAUUCAUAUACACAUGUAAAUAAAGAGCAAGUGCAUGACAAACUAAAUAGGGCAAAAUCUGGGUAAAGGGUAAACUGGACUUAUUUAUACUAUUUUUGUAACUUUCUACAACUUAAUGUUAUAUCAAAGUAAAAAUUUAUAAAUAAAUAUACAUAUAUUCCUAGGAGGGGUCAUACAUAAGCAUCUCAGGUAACACCUUCAUUACAUUAUUCAGUAGCUGAGAGCCAGAAUCGGGUCCUCUCACUUCUCUUCACCCCAACCUGAGGACCCCUACAUUCAUUCUUCACCCCAACCCGAGGACCCCCUUCAUUCCUGAAGAUGAGGAAGAGGUGGAAGCCAUCAAAUUCAAACUUCACCUAUACCACAGUUUUGCCUUGGACCCAGUGACUUUUUGCAGGAACAAAUUGAGACACAGAGAAGAUAAACAGAUUAAAGAUAGAAAUACAGCUUGGGGCCAGGCACGGUGGCUCACACCUGUAAUCCUAACACAUCAGGAGGCCAAGGCAGGUGGAUUGCCUGAGCUCAGGAGUUCAAGACCAGCCUGGGCAACAUGGCAAAACCCCAUCUCUACUAAAAAUAAAAAAUAUUAGCCAGGUAUGGUGGUAAGUGCCUGUAAUCCCAGCUACUCAGGAGGCUGAGGCAAGAGAAUCUCUUGAACCCAGGAGGCAGAGGUUGCAGUGAGCCAAGAUCGUGCCACUGCACUCCAGCUUGGGUGACAGAGCAAGACUCUGUCUCAAAAACAAAG